AUACGGAGGGUGCGAGCGUUAAUCGGAAUUACUGGGCGUAAAGCGUGCGUAGGCGGUUUGCUAAGUCAGAUGUGAAAGCCCCGGGCUUAACCUGGGAACUGCAUUUGAUACUGGCAGACUAGAGUAUGAUAGAGGGGGGUAGAAUUCCUGGUGUAGCGGUGAAAUGCGUAGAUAUCAGGAGGAAUACCAGUGGCGAAGGCGGCCCCCUGGAUCAAUACUGACGCUGAGGUACGAAAGCGUGGGGAGCGAACAGGAUUAGAAACCCCGGUAGUCC
rnacentral:rRNA from 1 species